GGAGAGGUGUCUGAGUGGUUUAAAGUACUGGUCUUGAAAACCAGCGUAGCGAAAGUUACCGAGGGUUCGAAUCCCUCCUUCUCCG
rnacentral:tRNA from 1 species